UGCAAGUCGAGCGGCAGCGCGGGGGCAACCCUGGCGGCGAGCGGCGAACGGGUGAGUAAUGCAUCGGAACGUAUCCUGGAGUGGGGGAUAACCCAGCGAAAGUUGGGCUAAUACCGCAUGAGCUCUGAGGAGGAAAGCGGGGGACUCGCAAGGGCCUCGCGCUGCAGGAGCGGCCGAUGUCCGAUUAGCUAGUUGGUGGGGUAAAGGCCUACCAAGGCGACGAUCGGUAGCUGGUCUGAGAGGAUGAUCAGCCACACUGGGACUGAGACACGGCCCAGACUCCUACGGGAGGCAGCAGUGGGGAAUUUUGGACAAUGGGGGCAACCCUGAUCCAGCCAUGCCGCGUGAGUGAAGAAGGCCUUCGGGUUGUAAAGCUCUUUCGGACGGAACGAAAUGGUUACGGUUAAUACCUGUGACUGAUGACGGUACCGUAAGAAGAAGCACCGGCUAACUACGUGCCAGCAGCCGCGGUAAUACGUAGGGUGCGAGCGUUAAUCGGAAUUACUGGGCGUAAAGCGUGCGCAGGCGGUUUCGUAAGCUGGAGGUGAAAUCCCCGGGCUCAACCUGGGAAUGGCCUUCAGGACUGCGAGGCUAGAGUGCGGCAGAGGGAGGUGGAAUUCCACGUGUAGCAGUGAAAUGCGUAGAUAUGUGGAGGAACACCGAUGGCGA
rnacentral:rRNA from 1 species